AGUGAACGCUGGCGGUAGGCCUAACACAUGCAAGUCGAACGGCAGCACAGGAGAGCUUGCUCUCUGGGUGGCGAGUGGCGGACGGGUGAGGAAUACAUCGGAAUCUACUUUUUCGUGGGGGAUAAUGUAGGGAAACUUACGCUAAUACCGCAUACGACCUACGGGUGAAAGCAGGGGAUCUUCGGACCUUGCGCGAUUGAAUGAGCCGAUGUCGGAUUAGCUAGUUGGCGGGGUAAAGGCCCACCAAGGCGACGAUCCGUAGCUGGUCUGAGAGGAUGAUCAGCCACACUGGAACUGAGACACGGUCCAGACUCCUACGGGAGGCAGCAGUGGGGAAUAUUGGACAAUGGGCGCAAGCCUGAUGCAGCCAUACCGCGUGGGUGAAGAAGGCCUUCGGGUUGUAAAGCCCUUUUGUUGGGAAAGAAAUCCAGCUGGCUAAUACCCGGUUGGGAUGACGGUACCCAAAGAAUAAGCACCGGCUAACUUCGUGCCAGCCGCCGCCGUAA
rnacentral:rRNA from 1 species